rnacentral:lncRNA from 1 species
GAUCAUCCAAGAAGUGGUUUAGGGCAGACAUUUCAGUUGUAUCAUCUCCUGUGAUAAUAAUAUCAUCCACAUAUACUGCUAGAAGCACAAGACACCCAGGCUGACCCUUUACAAACAAAGAGUAAUCAUUCAGAGAAUGUAUAUAACCUCUGGAAUACAGAGCUUGAGACAAUUUGGCAUACCAUUGUCUUGAAGCCUGUCUUAAUCCAUAAGAGAUUUUUUCAAUUUGCACACAAUGGGAGUGGAAACAGAUGGAACAGUUGGAUAAAAAAUACUCAAACAUGGAGGAAGUUUCAUAUACACUUCCUCAUCUAGGUCACCAUGCAAGAAGACAUUGUUGACAUCAAGUUGAAAAAGAUCCCAAUGUUUCUUAACAGCCACAUCAAUAAAGCAUUUGACAGUAGAUAUUUUAUCACAGGAGAACAUGUUUCUAUGAAAUCAACCCCCUCAAUCUGGGUGUCUCCUCUAAUAACAAGCCUAGCUUUAUAUCUUUCAACACUUCCAUCAGCCCUAUAUUUGAUCUAAUAGACCCACUUGCAGCCAAUGGGUUUCUUACCAGGAGGACGGGGAACAACAUCCCAAGUAUGGUUGGCAUCCAAUGCAUCAAACUCCUUUCUCAUGACAUCCUUCCAAGAUGGGGCUGAAGCAGCUUGAGAAUAAUAAAGAGAUUCAGAUUCCAAAGUAGAAGUAGAAGAAGAAGAUCCAGAAAAGGAAGGUAGUUGACACACAUAAUAUUUGAGAUAAGAAGGAAUGAUGUGUUGCCUUCCAGAUCUUCUGUUGACAUUAGGUUGUGUAGGGGAAGGAAUAGCAGGAUGUGGAAUAGCAGGAUUAAAGGAUGGAAUGGAAGUAGAAGGAACAGGUUCCGAAAAUGUUGAGUCAGGAACAGAAGAAAGAGCAGGACUGGAAGUAGAAAGAAAAGGUGCAGGAGGAUAAGGAAGAGGAGAACAAGGUGGGACAGAAAUGUGUGUCCCAGAAUUUUGGUGAUCAGAAGAAGGGACAACAGGAGGUGGAAAAGAGAAAAUAGAAGGACCAGAGGUAAUAUUAGAAUUAGUUGCAAAAGGAAAAUAUGUUUCAUGAAAUAUAACAUCCCUGGACACAAAACACUUUUUGGAAGCUAGAUUUUAGAAUUAGUUGCAAAAGGAAAACAUGUUUCAUGAAAUACAACAUCACUGGACACAAAACACUUUUUGGAAGCUAGAUCAUACAACUUGUAACACUUUUUGGCAAAAAGGAUAUCCUAGAAAGACACAUGAAAGUGCUCUAGGUUUGAGCUUAUCUUUCUG